rnacentral:piRNA from 1 species
AAGAAGGACCCCUGGAAGCCUUACUCCUGC